GGAAAUGGAGUUCUUUGAGUGAAAUCAUCAGGAAGUACACCUGAAACGACGUGCGAAAAGUUUCCUUGUCCAUUUAAAGUGGGACACAGAAGAUGUAGCUUAGAGCUUUCACUCAUUAUGUAACUUGGAAGGAAGGACAAUUCACCUUGGAAUGAAAGGCGGCAUGUUGAAGUGAAAACCAAAAGGAAUCAACAUGUCAUCUCUAUGUUUAAUUGCAAUGGUGACGGAUAGUCACCUGCUCCCAUGGCCACACUCUAUGUUUUCUGCGCAUCACCUCACGUUCUCAACAUGGACAGCGACAAUAGUCACCGUUCUCUUGAUGAUUACUUUUUUUGCCCAAAGCACUGCCGUAGUACUCAUGGCUGAUCCAUCCAUCAAUUUAAGACAUUUGCUCUGGGGAGGUGAAAUCAGAGGUUCUAGAUCAGCAGCUCCACGUUCCUCUUUGAUACAAGAAUGAAGCAUAUAUGUAUUUGUUCCUUUGUCAUUGUAAUUAAUCAUUCUUCUUUUAUUAAUUUGUUUUUAUAAUAACAAUGUCAUAUAGUUCUAAUAAACAUUUUUAGUUUACGUAA